ensembl:lncRNA
AGCAAAAGACGACUGAGGGUGAGAAAACACUUUUGGUUUUAAACCACGGAAGGGAACUAAGUUUAGAGUGGUUUUAGAAGUAGCCGUCAAAUACUUCGUGACAAAUAAGGUUUAAGUUCGCCACAAGGAACUGUGUUUAGAGUGGUUUCAGAAGUAGCCGGAAUUACUUCGUGACAAAUUAGCGUGCAAAUGUCUAUCUGUGUGUAUGUAUAUUUGUUUUGUGUAUGUGUUUGGAAGUAAGUUGAUUUUACAGCACAAUAAGCUGCUGAACUACUUCCAUUGUUUUUAUUGUUUUCCUUGUGUAUCCUGCAAAAGCUGAAGUACUGGUGACGAAGAAGUAGGUUGGGUUCCGUCCCGUAAAACUGACACCGCUCCGCGGAAGUAGCCCCGGAGUAGAAGGGCGUGUCAGCAACCACUCCUGAGUCUCAUACCAGAGAAAGCUCUGCAGGUGUGUUGUAACAAUGGGGAAUCAGCCCACAAAACUCACUGCUGACGAGCAGUGGUUAGAAAAGAAAUGUCCAGGCGCCGGACAAAUCAGUGCUUGUAGAUGGAGAAAUCCUAAAAAAACAACAUGUCCCACUUGGGAGGGGAAAUGCAGCCCCUCAGCACUAACACAGCUGAAAGAAGCUCUUCUGAAAGAAAUAGCAGAAACAAAAAACUUAAAAAAGAAAGGAAAACGCUCGCAAGAAUCACAAUAUUUCCAGGCCUGGAAAGAAGAAGCAGCUAGACGAGAGGAGAAUAAAAAGAAAAAACAAGAGAAAAAAGAUAAAAAGUCAGAAAAACAGAACUUAACCGCCAGUUUAGUAAAACCAGAAGACGAGACACUGUGCAGUGCUCGCAAUAUGCGUCUUAAUCCACCACCAUAUGCACCGCCACCUCCCACUUCUGCAGCCGCAGCUGCAGCAUCACCCGUUUCUGCAGCUACAGCUACAGCUACAGCACCACUUACUAUACACUCACCCAUAUCAGGAAGAACUAGGUCACACACACAUCAUCAGCCUUAUGUAAAAGCACAGACAAUGCUAAACGAACUUUCACUCAAAAAUAACCCACAAGAAGAAAUAGGUCGUGAUCCCACUGGGACCGACAUCUGGGGAGACACAGUCGACCCGCCAGCCACUGGUAUCUACCCAAUGGUAGCAGUAGCUAACCCCAGAUUUGGCCUAAUAAUAGGGCCAGAAGGACAAGAAGAG